GGAUUCUUAACUCAGUGGUAGAGUGCGGGAUUGCAGUAAUCGAAUAUCCUGAAGUCACCGGUUCGAUCCCGGUAGGGUCCU
rnacentral:tRNA from 1 species